CUACGGGGAGGCAGCAGUGGGGAAUAUUGGGACAAUGGGGCGAAAGCCUGAUUCCAGCAAUACCGCGUGUGUGAAGAAGGGCCUGAGGGUUGUAAAGCACUUUUCAAUUGGGGAGGAAAAACCUGCCGGGCCAAAUACCCCGGUAGCUUUGACAUUUACCUUUAGAAGAAAGCACCCGGCUAAACUCCCGUGCCAGCAGCCGCGGGAAAUACGGAGGGGGCAAGCGUUUAAUCGGAAAUUACUGGGCCGUAAAGCGUGCGUAGGUGGUUUGCUAAAGUCAGGUGUGAAAGCCCGGGCUUAACCUGGGAACUGCAUUUGAAACUGGUAGACUAGAGUUGGAGUAGAGGGGAGUGAAUUUUCAGGUGUAGCGGUGAAAUGCGUAGAUAUCUGAAGGAACACCAGUGGCGAAGGCGACUCCCUGGACUCAAACUGACGCUGAGGUACGAAAGCGUGGGUAGCAAACAGGAUUAGAUACCCUGGUAGUCCACGCUGUAAACGAUGUCAACUAGCCGUUGGCCCUUUAUACAGGGUUAGUGGCGCAGCUAACGCAUUAAGUUGACCGCCUGGGGAGUACGGCCGCAAGGUUAAAACUCAAAUGAAUUGACGGGGGCCCGCACAAGCGGUGGAGCAUGUGGUUUAAUUCGAUGCAACGCGAAGAACCUUACCUACCCUUGACAUGUCUGAAAUCCCUGAGAGAUCGGGGAGUGCCUUCGGGAAUCAGAACACAGGUGCUGCAUGGCUGUCGUCAGCUCGUGUCGCGAGAUGUUGGGUUAAGUCCCGUAACGAGCGCAACCCUUGCCCUUAGUUGCCGGCACGUAAUGGUGGGAACUCUAGGGGGACUGCCGGUGAUAAACCGGAGGAAGGUGGGGACGACGUCAAGUCAUCAUGGCCCUUAUGGGUAGGGCUACACACGUGCUACAAUGGCCGGUACAGAGGGCGGCGAACUUGCGAAAGUAAGCAAAUCCCAUAAAGCCGGUCUUAGUCCGGAUUGGAGUCUGCAACUCGACUCCAUGAAGUCGGAAUCGCUAGUAAUCGCGGAUCAGAAUGCCGCGGUGAAUACGUUCCCGGGCCUUGUACACACCGCCCGUCACACC
rnacentral:rRNA from 1 species